ensembl:antisense
AGUCUUCCACUAGCUGCCUUUGGAUGAAGUUGUAGAACUCUCAGCUCUGCCUGUGCCAUGCCUACCUGAAUACUGCCAUAUUCCCACCUUGAUGAUACUGGACUGAACCUCUGAACCUGGGGACAUGGAAGCUGACAGGCAAAAGUGGUGCUGGAGUAAUAUCUGACAACUUACAUCUUGAGACACAACUAUGAAGCACAGAAAGCUAAGAGGGAAUGGCAUGGGCUUUUGGAACUUUAGAGCCUGACUUCCUCCCAUCAGUGGCACAUCUUUUCCUGCUGGGGAACAAGUACUCAAACAUAUGAGCCUAUGAGGACAAUUCUCAUCCAAACUACCACAGCUUGGUUAUUGUUUUUUCUGCCUUCACUAAAAGGGUGGCUUUCACUUCCCUCUGACGUGUGGAUUGUUCAGCUACAAAGUGCUUGAUACACAUCAGAUAAGAUCAAGACAAAUCAAAGGAAACUCAAAGAUUCCUUUGGAAUUUUAAGAAUAAGAGAAAAUCUGUCAGCAUUUAGAUUUAUAUGGCCAGUGUGCACGAGGUCUUGGAUUGUCAUAGUCUAUACAAGUUUUGUGAUCCUAGAGUUGCUACGGUUUUACAUCAUGGCAAAAAUGUUUGUGCUUAAAAAAUCGCCAUAUUCAAAGGACACUGUCAAUAAGACCAAAAGGCAACCAACAGAUUGGGAAAAGAUCUUUACCAGUUCUAAAUCUUACAGGGGGCUAAUAUCCAAUAUAUAUAAAGAACUCAAGAAGUUGGACUCCAGAAAACCAAAUAACCCUAUUAAAAAAUGGGGUACAGAGCUAAACAGAGAAUUCUCAACUGAAGAAUGGCUAAGCAGCACCUAAAAAAUGUUCAACAUCCUUAAUCAUUAGAAAUGCAAAUCAAAACAACUCUGAGAUUCUACCUCACACAAGCCAGAAUGGCUAAGAUCAAAAACUCAGGUGACAGCACAUGCUGGCGAGGAUGUGGAGAAAGAGGAACACUCCUCCAUUGCUGGUGGGACUGCAAGUUGGUACAACCACUCUGGAAAUCAGUUUGGCGGUUCCUUAGAAAAUUGGACAUAGUUCUACCGGAAGAUCCAGCAAUACCACUCCUGGGCAUAUAUCCAGAAUAUGCUCCAACAUGUAAUAAGGACACAUGCUCCAUGUUCAUAGCAGCCUUAUUUAUAAUAGCCAGAAACUGGAAAGAACCCAUAUAUCCCUCAACAAAGGAAUAGACACAGAAAAUGUGGUAUAUUUACACAAUGGAUACUAUUCAGCUAUUAAAAACAAUGAAUUUAUGAAAUUCUUAGACAAAUGGAUGGAUCUGGAGGGUAUCAUGUUGAGUGAGGUAACCUAAUUACAAAAGAACACACAUGAUAUGCACGCACUGAUAAGUGGAUAUUAGCCCAGUAGCUCAGAAUCCUUCUUAGAAGGGGGAACAAGAGGCAGGUGGAUUUCUGAGUUCGAGGCCGGCCUGGUCACAGAGUGAGUUCCAGGACAGCCAGGGCUAUACAGAGAAACCCUGUCUCAAAAAACCAAAAAACCAAAAACCAAAACC